rnacentral:rRNA from 1 species
UGAGGAAUAUUGGGCAAUGCCCGCAAGGGUGACCCAGCAACGCCGCGUGGAGGAUGAAUGUCGUAAGAUUGUAAACUCCUGUUAGAGGGGAAGAAUAGUACCGGUUGGACCGGUAUAUGACUGUACCCUCAGAGAAAGCCCCGGCUAACUACGUGCCAGCAGCCGCGGUAAUACGUAGGGGGCAAGCGUUGUCCGGAUUUACUGGGUGUAAAGGGCGCGCAGGCGGGAUAAAAAGUCAGUGGUGAAAUCCUACAGCUUAACUGUAGAACUGCCUUUGAUACUUUUAUUCUUGAGUUCGGGAGAGAGAGACGGAAUUCCAGGUGUAGUGGUGAAAUACAUAGAUAUCUGGAAGAACACCAGUUGCGAAGGCGGUCUCUUGGUCCGACACUGACGCUGAGGCGCGAAAGCGUGGGGAGCAAACA